GAUGAACGCUAGCUACAGGCUUAACACAUGCAAGUCGAGGGGAAACGAUAUUGGAAGCUUGCUUCCGAUAGGCGUCGACCGGCGCACGGGUGAGUAACGCGUAUCCAACCUGCCCACCACUUGGGGAUGACCUUGCGAAAGUAAGACUAAUACCCAAUGAUAUCUCUAGAAGACAUCUGAAGGAGAUUAAAGAUUCAUCGGUGAUGGAUGGGGAUGCGUAUGAUUAGCUUGUUGGCGGGGUAACGGCCAACCAAGGCGACGAUCAGUAGGGGGUAUGAGGGGAAGGUCCCCCACAUUGGAACUGAGACACGGUCCAAACUCCUACGGGAGGCAGCAGAGAGGAAUAUUGGUCAAUGGGCGAGAGCCUGAACCAGCCAAGUAGCGUGCAGGAUGACGGCCCUAUGGGUUGUAAACUGCUUUUAUAAGGGAAUAAAGUGAGUCUCGUGAGACUUUUUGCAUGUACCUUAUGAAUAAGGACCGGCUAAUUCCGUGCCAGCCGCCGCAGUAA
rnacentral:rRNA from 1 species